rnacentral:tRNA from 1 species
UCCAUGGGAUGGGAAUCGAACGCUCAAUGUUCCACUUACCGGGCAGAUGCCAUGUCCACUAGGCUACCCUAAUGU